ACACUCCUGCGGGAGGCAGCAGUGGGGAAUUUUGGACAAUGGGCGAAAGCCUGAUCCAGCAAUGCCGCGUGCAGGAUGAAGGCCUUCGGGUUGUAAACUGCUUUUGUACAGAACGAAAAAGCUCCUUCUAAUACAGGGGGCCCAUGACGGUACCGUAAGAAUAAGCACCGGCUAACUACGUGCCAGCAGCCGCGGUAAUACGUAGGGUGCGAGCGUUAAUCGGAAUUACUGGGCGUAAAGCGUGCGCAGGCGGUUAUGUAAGACAGAUGUGAAAUCCCCGGGCUCAACCUGGGAACUGCAUUUGUGACUGCAUGGCUAGAGUACGGUAGAGGGGGAUGGAAUUCCGCGUGUAGCAGUGAAAUGCGUAGAUAUGCGGAGGAACACCGAUGGCGAAGGCAAUCCCCUGGACCUGUACUGACGCUCAUGCACGAAAGCGUGGGGAGCAAACAGGAUUAGAUACCCCGGUAGUCCCAUGA
rnacentral:rRNA from 1 species